rnacentral:tRNA from 1 species
GCGCCCGUGGCUCAACUGGAUAGAGCGUCGGACUUCGGAUCCGAUGGUUGGGGGUUCGAAUCCCUCCGGGCGCACCA